AACGAUGUAGUUUAUUAAGAAUUUUGGGUUUGCGUCUCAGUAGUGGAUUAUUUUCCCUUCGUUA
rnacentral:tRNA from 1 species